rnacentral:rRNA from 1 species
AGGACGAACGCUGGCGGCGUGCUUAACACAUGCAAGUCGAGCGGGGCCCUUCCUUCGGGAAGGUGCCCUAGCGGCGAACGGGUGAGUAACACGUGGGCAACCUGCCCCUAGCACUGGGAUAACUCCGGGAAACCGGGGCUAAAUACCGGAUAUGACCUCUGAGGGCAUCCUCUAAGGUGUAAAGGAUUCUGGCUAGGGAUGGGCCCGCGGCCUAUCAGCUUGUUGGUGGGUAAUGGCCUACCAAGGCGACGACGGGUA